rnacentral:rRNA from 1 species
GAUGAACGCUGGCGGCGUGCCUAAUACAUGCAAGUCGAGCGGAAGGGCGCUAAGCUUGCUUCUCUGAUGUUAGCCGCGGACGGGAGAGUAACAUGUGGAUCCCCUACCUAUAAGACUGGGAUAACUUCGGGAAACCGUAGCUAAUACCGUAUAAUCUCUUGAAGCGCAUGGUUCGAAAGUGAAAGACGGUGUUGCUGGAACUUCUAGCUGGAUCCGGGCUGGUUUGGCUGGUUGGUAAGGUAACGGCUUACUAGGGCAACGAUGCAUAGCCGACCUGAGAGGGGGAUAGCCGACACUGGAGGUGAGACACGGUCCAGGGUCCUACGGGAGGCAGCAGUAGCGAAUGUUCCGCAGUGGGCGAAAGCCUGACGGAACAACGCCACGUGAGUGAUGAAAGUCUUCGGAUCGGAAAACUGUGUUAUGAGUGAAGAACAUAUGUGGAAGGAACUGAGCACAUCGUGACGGUACCUAAUCAGAAAGCCACGGCUAACUACGUG